GGAGCCGUGCGCAAGCGCGGCGCGGUGGGAGGCUGGGGGAGGGAUGCGGGGGCUGGCGCGGCCCAGCGUUUGUUUGUUUUGUGGGUGGUGCGUGUGCAGCCCGGGAAAAGCUGGAAAUGGCGGCGCCGAGCGGGAGGUCGCAGUCCUCCCUGCACAGGAAGGGGCUGAUGGCGGCUGACAGGAGGAGCAGGAUUUUGGCAGUGUGUGGAAUGCAUCCUGACCACCAGGAAACACUGAAAAAGAAUCGAGUGGUGCUGGCCAAGCAGCUGCUGCUGAGCGAGCUGUUAGAACACCUCCUAGAGAAGGACAUUAUCACUUUGGAAAUGAGGGAGCUCAUCCAGGCCAAAGGGGGCAGUUUCAGCCAGAAUGUGGAACUCCUCAACCUGCUGCCAAAGAGAGGACCCCAGGCUUUUGAUGCCUUCUGUGAAGCCCUGCGGGAGACCAGGCAGGGUCACUUGGAAGACUUACUGCUCACAACCCUCUCAGAUAUUCAGCACGUACUCCCACCGUUGAGCUGUGACUAUGACACAAGUCUCCCUUUCUCGGUGUGUGAGUCCUGCCCUCCUCACAAGCAGCUCCGCCUAUCCACAGAUGCUACGGAACACUCCUUAGAUAAUGGUGAUGGUCCUCCCUGUCUUCUGGUGAAGCCAUGCACUCCUGAGUUUUACCAGGCACACUACCAGCUGGGUAACGACAUUGCCUGUCAUCAAGAAGCUCCUGGUCUAAUUGGCCUCCUCCUUCUAGGCCUAUAGGUUGCAAUCUCAGCCCCGUGGCUUGGCACUGGUGCUGAGCAAUGUGCACUUCACUGGAGAGAAAGACCUGGAAUUCCGCUCUGGAGGGGAUGUGGACCACACUACUCUAGUCACCCUCUUCAAGCUUUUGGGCUACAAUGUCCAUGUGCUACAUGACCAGACCGCACAGGAAAUGCAAGAGAAACUUCAGAAUUUUGCACAGUUACCUGCACACCGGGUCACAGACUCCUGCGUAGUGGCACUCCUCUCACAUGGUGUGGAAGGUGGCAUCUAUGGUGUAGAUGGCAAACUGCUUCAGCUCCAAGAGGUUUUUCGACUUUUUGACAAUGCUAACUGUCCAAGUCUACAGAACAAGCCAAAAAUGUUCUUCAUCCAAGCAUGUCGUGGAGGUGCUAUUGGAUCCCUUGGGCACCUCCUUCUGUUCACUGCUGCCACCGCCUCUCUUGCUCUAUGAGACAGAUAGAGGUGUCGACCAGCAAGAUGGAAAGAACCACACACAAUCCCCUGGAUGUGAGGAGAGUGAUGCUGGCAAAGAGGAGUUGAUGAAGAUGAGACUGCCUACUCGCUCAGACAUGAUAUGUGGCUAUGCUUGCCUUAAAGGUAAUGCUGCCAUGCGGAACACCAAACGGGGUUCCUGGUACAUUGAGGCCCUCACUCAGGUGUUCUCUGAAAGAGCUUGUGACAUGCACGUGGCCGACAUGCUUGUUAAGGUGAAUGCCCUUAUCAAGGAGCGUGAAGGCUAUGCCCCUGGCACAGAAUUCCACCGAUGCAAGGAGAUGUCUGAGUACUGUAGUACUCUGUGCCAGCAACUCUACCUGUUCCCAGGCUACCCACCCACGUGAUGCCGCCUGCUAUUCCUGCUGUUGGAGGCCACUGGACCACUGGGGGCACAAUGGAGACUUCUCUUCAGAAUGGUUUUUGUUCUGUCUACCCUCUCAGGGAUAUGAGAUUCUCCCAGGCUUGUUUCCUGUCAGCCAUCUCUGUCUUUGGGUAUGAAACAUAAGGAUGGCUCCUCCGGUGUCGUGUUCUCUACCUAUAGAGCCAGCUCUGAAUGGAUGUGUUACCAGAAGCAUUUUAGCUACAGCCUAGAAAAUGACAUUGUGAACACAGUAUUAUUGUGGGAAGAGGGCAUUUGGAUUUCUCAAUGUUUGUGAUAUUUUUGUUCCCAAGGCAUCUUAGGAGUACUUGGAUCAUAGCUUUUUUUUUUUUUCCUAAAUCAGUUAAGGAGUCUCAGAGAUCAUCUCCUUUUUUUUCCAUAUCUACAACCUCAUUUUUCCCACAGUGGAGAUUUGGAAGAUGUCCCAAUUUAAUGUAGGUGUUUUCAUCUGUCAUGAAGGGACAGAUGAGAUCCUACUACUUGCGAAGUUUCUAUGCAUACCUUUAAGUUCAGGCCCUAGGUGAAGGACAGUCCCUCAGCCUUUCCAUUGGUUCCUUUGUGUUCAGUGCACCCAGCCUUUGAACAGAGCCUAGGGUCUGUAUGCCAUGACACUGGAAGUCAUAGAAAUUUCCCUGGUCAUGCUUUGUUUGAACUGUCACUGAAUGAACCUUAUCGGGCAUAACUACAUGAAAAUGCAGUGACAGCUGAGUGUGCUGUGUCUCACACUAUCACCCGUCAUCAGGAUGUCUCUCCUUCCUUACUGUGGCUUCUGCAUGCACUUACACUGUACUUGACGGCUGGCCUCCAGGGUCUCUCUUGCUUUGUACUGGUUCCCCUCUUUACCUUCACCAUUCGCUGCUUCUGCCAAGUCUGUGAAGCCGUCCUUUGUAGGAUGUUUCUUGCCACUUACGCUGUACUGUAGUUGCUUAUUCUUUCUGCCUUCUGCUUCAGCGUGAGGCUUCUUUGGUUUUCUGUGGCAGCGUCUCCCUUCUCAUUGUUUCUCUGUGUUUUAGUGGGGAUAGUACCAUAUGUGAUAUAACCUAGAAGCACUUGUCUCUGCUCUUAUGAAACUUGCUUAUUCUUGAAAACCUUCUGCAUUUCCAUUUUUUCCUCUCUUCCAAUUUAUUCUCCAUGUAACAGAGUAGUUUGGUUUUUAAAAUAUCUGGUGAUGUCAUUCUCUUGCUUAGAACACUAGCUUCCUGUUACGCUUCAUCUAAAAUGCAAAUUCUUACACCCAGCUUACGAGAUCUGGCUCAUACCUUCCCUUUGGAUCUCAUUAAAUGGUGAUUUCUCACUAUGCUCCAGCCCCUCUUAGGUCCUCAUCUCCGUCUUGCAGGUGUUCUGAACUCUCCUUUGGCUAGUCUCUGAUUUUUGAGUCUGGCGGAGGCCUCUUGACCAUGCUGCCCAUGCUGUCUACUGUGCCUCCUUAUGAGGGCAUCAUGUUGGUCUCUGUUGUGCUUACUGCAGGCUGUAAUGGCACUUUUGCUUGUUUCACUUGUUCCCUCUGAGGCUGAAUGCUCCAAGAGAGUGGGAACUGUGCUUCUUACUUACUGAUAUCCAGUAACUGGCACUUACUAGGUCUUCAUGAAUGUUUCCUGAGUAAAGGAAGGAGACCAGCAGCUAACCUUAGUUAGAGCCUACCUUUUGCAGUUUCUAAAUUGCUAUUAUAGUGUACAGUUCAAUUAGUAUAUGGGUUUUUUUUUCCAGGUGUUUUAUUUUUAUCCACUGUUUUGUUGUUGUUUUUUUAUAUUUUCUACAUAUCACGUGUGAGACAACUUCUUUCACAUCUCCAUAGUGCCCAGCAAAUUUGAGGCCUAUGGUAGUUGAGGUGCUCAACUAAUGUUUGUUGUAUGAACCAAGUGGUUUGAAGACUUGCUGCCAAAUUCUGCCUUUUGGGUCAGUAUAGGAUGCAUAAGUGGUAGAAUCUUCACACUUCCCACUGCCAAGAUUUUGUAUUGCCAUCAGGUGCCAAAUAAAUGUUGAUACUUAUUACUGA